GGCGGCGUAGCCAAGUGGUAAGGCAGAGGNNCAUCGGUUCGAUUCCGAUCGCCGCCUCCA
rnacentral:tRNA from 1 species